rnacentral:ncRNA from 2 species
GUUAGAGUAGGGACAGUGCGUUAAGUACCGAAGGAUGGGAAGUUGUCUUUGGGCGAAAGGCUUGAUGCUUGCGGUGCUGUCCCGCAUCCGCUACC